UACGGGGGGGGCAAGCGUUGUUCGGAAUUACUGGGCGUAAAGGGCUCGUAGGCGGCCAACUAAGUCAGACGUGAAAUCCCUCGGCUUAACCGGGGAACUGCGUCUGAUACUGGAUGGCUUGAAUCCGGGAGAGGGAUGCGGAAUUCCAGGUGUAGCGGUGAAAUGCGUAGAUAUCUGGAGGAACACCGGUGGCGAAGGCGGCAUCCUGGACCGGCAUUGACGCUGAGGAGCGAAAGCGUGGGGAGCGAAACAGG
rnacentral:rRNA from 1 species